UGUUUUGCUCCACCACUGAAUCUUCAGUCAAUACCCGGUAGUGGAGUGGAGGCUCAGCGGAGUGUGCUCUCCCCAACAUUGUUUUCUAGCUGCCAUCACACCCACACAGGUUGUCCGUACAACUCUGUUAACUCAGGAAUCAGCCUUCUGGCAAUGAAGCCCAGCUGAGAUGAUGGCAUGACUGCUUGCAUCUGUAUCCUGUUGAUCGUGUUCCUGGACAUAAACAUCCUCCUUUUCCUGGAAUAGUCCAGGUGGAUGCCUGCAGUCCUGGCAUAAUUAAUCAUAACUUUUACUUCCACUAGGAAAAGGCUCCAAGGUCUGGGUGAUAAAAUUAUACAGUCAUCUUAGAAAUUAACAAUGGCAACAUGAGCUAACAUUUUAUUGGCUGUUUUCUCUCUGCCAAGCGCUAUUGCUGAGCAAUUAACUCCUUUAAUCUUCUAUAAUCCUAUUAAAUAGAACUUUACAGAGGACGAAAAUGAGUCUUGGGUGUGUAAAGUAACUUGUUUAAAUUCGGAGAUCUAAUGUACGUGCAUAAGGAAAGCAAAUUUGUGACAUAUAUCAGUGGCUCAUGCGUUUUCCAUGUAACUCUCAUCUGUUGUUUUGAGAGUAACCUUUGAAAAAGUUGGUAUUAUUUUAAGAUUCCUUUUACUAUCUGCAUAAAUGCAAUUUUGGAAUGUCUGAAUGGGAAAAAUUUUAAAAUAUGCUCGGAAAUCCCCGGCAGUCCUGGAUCCCUGAUGAGACAAAGCAGAGCCCACUGCUGAAGCCGAGACAGCGAGGCAUCUUCAAAGCAUCUGUCUGCCGUGAUUCCACAGAACAGGGAUAUGUGUGCACCAAGCAUGCUUCCCUGGAGAGCCCGAGGGUAAGAACUGAGGGCUCGGUGGAGUUCCCUGGUGGCAGGUUAAGGAUCUGGCCUUGUCACUGCUGUGACAUGGGUUCAAAACCUGGCCCAGGAAUUUCCACAUCCUGCAGGUGCAGCCAAAAAUUAAAAAUAAAAACCAAAGAGGGCUCUGUGUAUAACCAAAGGGGUGCAUGCUCGCAUACUGUGCCUGUGGUCAUCUUACAUGUGUGACCUGUGUUAUUUCAUCUGACAAUUAAUGAAGUGCUGUUAGCUGGGGCGGGAUGCUAUGUCCUACGUAUCCAGCAGGCCAACAUACAGGACUCCUUCUGCCUCAUGUAUACAUAGGGAGCCCAGAGGUCCUCCUUCAUGCAGUAUGCACAUCCACAGCUGGGCCCUGGCCAGACCAUUCUCACAUUCCGUGUCGAUUUGGAAGGUCCCAAAGCACCUUAUCUGUGCCGAUGGCUCUGCUGUGUAUUCUGGCAGCACUAUCUCUGUUCUUCUAAAGAAGUAACCUGGUUCUUGUUGUCAAAUCUGUUUCUGUGAAGACUUUCCUUCAGUUGAAGUUGUCUUUUGUCAGGGCGGGUGCUUGUGGGAUCUCCCAGGGGCAGAUGCUGUCCAUGUGUGUCUCAGAUCCCUGGGACCGUAACCAUUUCGUUGUGCCGGUAACUGCAGGACCGUGGAAGGCUGACCUCCCUGUGGGUGCCAAGGGCCCCCAAACACUGGGGGAUCACCACUCCCUGGAAAGCAUCUCGUGCUGAUGAUGGAUGCAAGCUGGUAUAUCAUACCCCAGCCAGCCUCCUCGCUGCUUGGGUCAGAAGAGGCAUUUUGCAUCAUUCUCCACGGUUUGCUGAUGGGAUGAAGCUCCAGUUGCCAUCGUGAUAGCUGGCUUCCUAGGUCCUUUUAUGGGCUCUCUUCCCUUCCCCAUCUCACCUCUCCUCUCCCCAGCCAGACUUGUGGUGGAAGCUUUGCCUCGGGAUCUGUUCUGUGUUUAAAUAGGUCAGGCUCUGAAAUCCUCUCCCAGCUCUGUUUGUUUCUUCCGUAGCCCUUUGCUCAAUUGUAAUUGCAUGGUUAUUUGUGUUUCACGAAAGCCUAUCUCCCUGACUCCAUGGCAAGUGUCCCUCUGUGUGUGUAUGUGAUUGUGUCUAGUUCGCGUGAUACUUGGCAGAUGUAAAUGCACAAUAGACUCAUUUUGAAAACGAAAGAAUGAAUUUAGCAAAAGCUGUAUUUGUAAUUCCCACUAGGCUGUGGCUUAAAGAACCAACCAGGUCCUGAGGAUGCUAAUCAGAAGCAGAAGGUGGUAAAUCGAGGUAGAUCACAUUCUUGGCAGGGCGUGGGAACCAGAAGAAUGGGGUCUUUCGAAUGAAAGAGCAUAUAGUCAUUGGGAAAGAAUGUUAUACUCUAUGCUAGAAAUUUGAAUUAUCUGUAUUUUCUAGAAGUUAAAAUUGAUGAACACCGGUUUGAAUGCUGUUCUAUUUCCUCUGACAAUAGAAGGUUUAAAAUAAGCAUGUAGCCAUGGAUUAUAUUUUAUAAAAUGAUAUUAGCCUUAAUUGUUUAAAACAUAUAUAGUUAGAAAAUUCAAAAUUGGCUUUUGAAAUGAAUGUGAAAUGAGCAUGACAUGUCGUUACGAAGCCAGUUCAUAAGCCAAGAUAAUUGUACAUCUCUUUUCCCAGGUACUAUCCAAACAAAGGUAUUGUAUUAUGAUGGCUGGUUGUCAUGGCUCCCUGAUUUUUAAUAUGGCUUUAAAUGACUUAUGUUUAAAUAGUCUUGGAAAGUUCAUCCAGGAGAUGCUUUUCCCACGUAAUGAAGAUCAUGCCUAAUUAGAGCUGGUGAACCUGAGACCACAAACUCUCAUUUGAGCCAUAUGUUGUGCCUUAAAGUAAACAUUGAUGUCAUAUCUAUGCAAACAAGACCGCCUUCGCUGGUGAAGCACGUAGGUGGGGGGCAGACCUCGAUGCUCACCUGGUCCCUCCUCCCGCAUCUUUGUGUGGGUCGGGGAAGAGCAGGAUGCUGCCUCCAAAGUCCCCAGGGUGGCCCUGCUCAGCGAUAGCACUGAACGCAUGAAAUGUCUGGAUGUUCAGCUUCUGUCGGUUUGUCACCGUGGGUGGGAAGAACCCAGGGGUACCAGCCCAGACGCUGCAUACCUUUUCUUAUAUCUCUGCCUGUGCGUGUGGAGCUACCUACACCUAUUUCUAAAACUACCUUUUUCUUCAUCGGUGUCUAUGGCUACGACCGUUCAGCUCUAUCUAUAUAAGUUUCUAUACCUAAAUCUAAAGUUACCUCUGCCUCUGUAAGGACGCCUCUGUCUCCACCUGUAUACCUCCCUCUAUGUCUGUGCCUUCACCUACACCUGUACCAUGUCCAUCCACCUGUGUGCGUACGUCUCCAUGUCUGUCUACACCUACACCUGUAUCCACAGCUGAGUUGACAACUUCGCAUCCUCAGCCAAGCCCUGGAUAAACUUGCACUGAAGGUGUGAGGCUGGCCUGAGGGAAUUGCAGUGUCCUAACCCAGAGCAUCUGCCAUGUUUCACGCCCCCAGGCUCCCCACAUCCACCCACCUUGUCUUUCUCUCUCCCCUUUCCUGGCCUGGUGCCAUUUCUAGGGCCCUGUUUUCUGCCACCGUCAGGAAUUAGGGCUCUCUUUUCAGUCUUCCCCAGAGAGAGCAGGAAAUUCCUCCUUUCCCCCAUCAAUCUCAUGAUAGGGAUGCUUCCACCCUAUGAUGGUGCAGAAGCAGUACAUAUUCCGUGGCUUUCGUGCUUCCAAUUUUGAAUGUUGACGCUUUCCUGGGCUAGUGAUACAGACGGUGAUACCCCAGCGAUGCUGGGCAGUGGUAGUGAGCAGUGGGUCCCCGCCGGCCACAUGAUCACCAGUGGAAACAACCCAUAUGCUUCCAACCACUCUGCACCCAGACCAUCACUCUGCUUCUCACCUUCAGUACAGCAUUCAGUAAAUUGCACGAGAUAUUCAAGACGUUAUGAUAAAACAGGCUUUGGGUUAGAUGAUUUUGAUCAACUAUAGGCUCAUGUAAGUGUUCUGAGUGCAUUUAAGGUAGGCUGGGCUAAGGUGUUGGUGGGGGUAUGGACGUAAUCCCAUCGUAAGUCUAAGGCGAGGAGAUGCGUUAUCUCCCUGGGGCCAGACCUCGGCUUCCAGUGCCAAAAGGCGUCUCUGUGAACAAUGCAGCAUUGUUGAAUUCCUCAUUACUCUGAACUUUGCCUUUUGAGAGCAUGCUGAGGCUUUCUCUUUACCCGUCCAGAUAACCCACUGAGAUAUACACGGGACUUCAUCCCCCAUGGAAGCUCAGUCUUUCUCCAAAAACGAGAUCUGCCUCUCCUGCUAGAACAAAGGAAAAUUGUCAGUUUUUUUUUUUUUUUUCUACUUUUCAAACUGACUUAGGAACAUUGAGGUCUGGCCUCAGAAACACAUAUAUCAUUUUUUUGGUCAUUGCCCCUAGUAGAACAUAUAAUCAAAGUGUUACUUAAUUUCACUGCCCUGUCAGGAUGCAUCUUGGUACAGACAGGCAAGCCUUUCAGAAAUGAAAUCUGGAGCCGGGGUCAGUUGGAAAAGAUAACCUGCCCACCACUGCUCUGCCCACAGCUUCCUCUGGCGGCAUCCAUCCCGUGGAUGAGCGGACUCACUGGUCCUGCCUUGGACUUGCUGCUCAUCUUCAGCUCUGAUCCUCCUGUCUCCUCUGCCUACUCUGACCCUCUCUUUCCGACCUACACUGAACCAUCUGAACAAAUCUUUUGAUUUCCUCUCUUGCCUCUGCUUCACAUUAGUCUCAUCCCCAUGCAUGUAACACCAGCUUGGGCUUGGACCCCAAUUCUGACGGCUGCCCAAAACAUCUUCAUCCUCUUCUUUUCUCCUGCAUGAAAUCCACCCCCCAAAGAGUCCUCUUUUCUAAAGGUAGGUUCCAGCUCCCAACAGGACCAGUUGUUGUUCCCUACCUCUUGCUACCUGGCACGUCCUCUGUCAUAAGGACUUGGUGCACUAAAUUGCAGAGAGCUUACCUGGUACUCAAGUCAGCUAGCCUAGACCCAUCUAACUGCCCAGACUCUUCAUCUGCUUUACACACCUGUCACCCCCUGAUGGGUCUGUGGGCCAUUUCCCAGCCAGAUAUUGUCACGUCCUUUCUCUGCUUCCAUACGUGUCCUUCCUUGGACCUGGAAUUGUGUCUUUCCUUGGCGUCUGCUGAGGUCCAGCUGCCAUGCUCCCGUGAUGCUGUGUCUCCCUUUCCAAGCAACAGUGGUUUUCGUCUUCUCCUUGGCUUGCUGUAUCUCUCACACAGCACUGCCACUCGCUACCCUGUGUUUUUGAUCAUCCAGCUUGCAUCUCAUCUCUCCCGGUGGUCAAGCAGCCCCAACUUCUUCUGGGAACCUCUUGGAAAAGCACAUCCUCAGCUCUACCCCAAACCCACUGAGUCUACAGCAUUGAGAGUGGGGCCUGGUAACCCGUAUUUUAACACACCCCACCUGUGAUUCUGAAGCUCAAAGUUCAAAACUCAAGUUUUGACCUUGCUGACCUAGACUAGAGACCAAGGACAAAGACUUCAUUUUUCUCCUGACACUGCGGGGGGAACUUCUGUAUCAGAAGGUAUGUUAUUAAGUGAUUCCUUUCUCCUUUGGUUCUCUUUUUCAUUUUUGGGUCCAGCCUUUCCCUUUGCCUGGCAGGGGUGACCAUGUGGUGCAGGUUCAUUGUCUUAUGAAGAAUUGAAAUGACAAGCAUCAAGGCAAUGUUUGGUUUCUGGUAGCAAACAAAGGAUUUUGCAACAAAAAGGUAGCCUGUGAGCCAGACUCUGAUACCUAGAAAGAAUGAUGAAAUUCCUCGUUGGUACAUGUAGUAUUUUAAGAGCUAUGCUGGAUGGGCUGACCAUGGAGUUUUACGCAAAGGAGAUCCAAGAACAAGAAAAAAGGAGGAGGGUCCUGGCUGUUCAAGAAAUGAGCAAAAAGAGUCAGGUUGAGAAAACCAGUUGUAUUCGUUUCCUGAUGCUGCUGUAAUGAGUUAUCACGCUUGGUGGCUUAAAGUGACACAAGUUUAGGCCUUACAAUUCUGUAGACGAGAAGUCCAAGACGGGGCUUGUGGGGCUACAUCCAAAGCUAUGUUCCUUCUGGGGCCUCUGGGGAAGAAUCCAUUUCCUGGCCUCUUCCACCUCACACCCCUUCUCUCCUGGCUCUUAUCUUUAACGCCAGUGGUGUGGCAUCCUCAAAUUUCUCUUUCUCCCUUCCACCUCUGCUUUCAUCCUCACUCCUCCUUCUCUCUGCCACCCCUGCCUCCCUCUUGUAACAACUUUUGUGGUUCCAUUGGGUCCAGGAAGAGCAUCUAGGGUAAUCUUCCCAACUCAAGAUCCUCAACUUCGGGAGUUCCCGUCUGGUCAUUGGUAACGAACCUGACUAGUAUCCAUGAGGUUGCAGGUUUGAUGCGUGGCCUCGCCCAGUGGGUUAAGGAUCUGGUGUUGCCGUGAACUUUGAUGUAGGUCACAGACAAGGCUCACAUCUGGCAUUGCUGUGGCUGUGGUGCAGGCCAGCAGGUGCAGCUCAUAUUUGACCCCUAGCCUGGGAA
rnacentral:lncRNA from 1 species